UACGUAGGAGACGAGCGUUGUCCGGAGUUACUGGGCGUAAAGGGUGCGCAGGUGGUUGUGCGCGUGGGGGGUGAAAUCGCCCGGCUUAACUGGGCGGGGGCCUUCCAGACGGCGUGACUUGAGGCGCGGAGGGGGACGUGGAAUUCCCGGUGUAGCGGUGGAAUGCGUAGAGAUCCGGAAGAACACCAGUGGCGAAGGCGGCUCACUGGCUCAUUACUGACGCUCAGGCGCGAUAGCGUGGGGAUCAAACAGG
rnacentral:rRNA from 1 species